UUUUGGAUGGAACAAGCAAAAAUGACUAAACUUCAUGAACGAUUUUGGCAUUUUACUCUAAAUAUCGAUAAAAUAUAGGUAUACAAUAGCUGGAUUUUAAGUUUUUUGUUAAAUAUAUGUAUGGAAACACCGUUGCUGGUCGCUAUCAUCCACUAUUCGCAAUUAACAACUAUGGUUGUUUAGUCAUUUAGAUAAUCAGCUAUAAUGAAAAAAGAAAGAGUUAAUUACUGUUUUCGUCC
rnacentral:lncRNA from 1 species